UACAGAGGGUGCAAGCGUUGUUCGGAAUUAUUGGGCGUAAAGCGCGUGUAGGCGGCUUUGCAAGUCGGAUGUGAAAGCCCUCGGCUCAACCGAGGAAGUGCGUUCGAAACUGCAGAGCUUGAGUACCGGAGAGGGUGGCGGAAUUCCCCCAAGUAGGGGUGAAAUUCGUAGAUAUGGGGGAGGAACACCGGUGGCGAAGGCGGC
rnacentral:rRNA from 1 species